rnacentral:lncRNA from 1 species
GUUGAUGUGAUUACUGAAGCGCUAUUUGUGUUUUAGUUAUAUCUUCUACUUGUAUAUAUGUUUAUAAAACAGAUCUACUACUUAUACCCUUAACAUGUACUUGUCCUUAUUCUUUGUGCAAUAAAAUCAAAGCAGCAUCAACACGGUGAGUCUGACAGUCCAACCAUUCACAAAAUCAGAACCGAGGUGAAAGAUACCAAAGGCAUAUUCAAACUCAUAAGCUGACAACGCCAUCAUUACCUGGGGGUGAUCUCAGGUGCUCAGGAUGGGUCGAACCCCACCAUUAACUGGGAGUGAUCUCAGGGGCUCAGGAUGGGUCGAACCCCACCAUUAACUGGGCGUGAUCUCAGGUGCACAGGACGGGAUUAACCCCACCAUUAACUGGGAGUGAUCUCAGGUGCUCAUGAUGGGACGAACCCCACCAAUAACUGGGCGUGAUCUCGGGUGCUCAGGACGGGACGAACCCCACCAUUAACUGGGAGUGAUCUCAGGUGCUCAGGAAUGGACGAAUCCCACCAUUAACUGGGAGUGAUCUCAGGUGCUCAGGAUGGGACGAACCCCACCAUUAACGUGGAGUGAUCUCAGGUGCUCAGGAUGGGACGAGCCCCACCUGUAACUGGUAGUGGUCUCGGGUGCUCAGGAUGGGACGAACCCCACCAUUACCUAGGAGUGAUCUCAAGUGCUCAGGAUGGGACGCACCCCACCAUUACCUGGGAGUGAUAUCAGGUGCUCAGGAUGGGACGAACCCCACCAUUACCUGGGAGUGAUGCUCAGGAUAGGACGAACCCAAUCAUUAACUGGGAGUGAUCUCAGAUGCUCAGGAUGGGACGAACCCCACCAUUAACUGGGGGUGAUCUCAAUCAAAAUCAUGUACUGCACCAAAACCUGUGUCUACUCUUUGGUGGAGUUGUAGGAGGCAUGAAACUGAAAAAGUCACUUUAAGUUUCUUCGGUGGUGAAAAAAAAAUAAUCAUAUAAUUUUGUUUCUAUCAUUGAUCACUUAAUCAUUAAGACAUCAUACAUGUCAUAAAGGUAUUUCAAAGGGAUAUAAUAACUGUUUCAUUAAAGGAUUAUCCUGUUAAAUACCUAAGGGCUCUUUGAGGACAAACAUAACUUGAGAAGAUUUGAUUGCAAUAAAACAUUUUGAUAAUAAUUAGGUGAAAUAACAACACAGACAGGACCCAAACCCCAGUUUGGUGUAAAAAUGUUAAUUGACAUAUUCAAUCUUUCAUUGAAAUACAUGCAAGGUGUAUAUAGAAUUAUGAAAGUUUCAUCUUCAUAUUUUUCCAUCCAUCUAUAUAGUUUUCUUUAAUAUUUCUUUCAUGGUUUUUCAUAGACCACCAAACACCAACAUAUUCCCAAUAUUUCUUUAUACUAAUAUCAGAAACCAAGAUUAAGACUUGAUGAUUUUAACAAUUUUAAACAAUAAAGACUGAGCAACACGAACCCCACCAUUACCUGGGAGUGCGAUAAGACGUGUCACGGUACUUGUCAAUCCCAAAUUCAUGUAUUUGGUUUUGAUGUUAGAUAUGUUAUUCUCGUAGGAUUUUGUCUGAUGCUUGGUCCGUUUCUGUGUGUGUUAGUUACAUUGUAGUGUUGUGUCGUUGUUCUCCUCUUAUAUUUAUGCGUUUCCGUCAGUUUUAGUUUGUUACCCCGAUUUUGUUUUUUGUCCAUGGAUUUAUGAGUUUGAACAGCGGUAUACUACUGUUGCCUUUAUUUUUAUUUCUUA